rnacentral:rRNA from 1 species
GAUGAACGCUGGCGGCGUGCCUAACACAUGCAAGUCGAACGGAGUCGUUUUGGAAAUCUCUUCGGAGAUGGAAUUCUCGACUUAGUGGCGGACGGGUGAGUAACGCGUGAGCAAUCUGCCUUUAAGAGGGGGAUAACAGUCGGAAACGGCUGCUAAUACCGCAUAAAGCAUUAAAUUCGCAUGUUUUUGAUGCCAAAGGAGCAAUCCGCUUUUAGAUGAGCUCGCGUCUGAUUAGCUAGUUGGCGGGGUAACGGCCCACCAAGGCGACGAUCAGUAGCCGGACUGAGAGGUUGAACGGCCACAUGGGGACUGAGACACGGCCCAGACUCCUACGGGAGGCAGCAGUGGGGAAUAUUGCGAAAUGGGGGAAACCCUGACGCAGCAACGCCGCGUGAUUGAAGAAGGCCUUCGGGUUGUAAAGAUCUUUAAUCAGGGACGAAACAAAUGACGGUACCUGAAGAAUAAGCUCCGGCUAACUACGUG